rnacentral:tRNA from 1 species
GCGCCAAUAGCUCAAUGGCAGAGCAACUGACUCUUAAUCAGUGGGUUGUGGGUUCGAGUCCCUCUUGGCGCA